AUGAACGCUAGCUACAGGCUUAACACAUGCACGUCGCGGGGCAGCAUGGGGGUUGCUUGCAAUCCCCGAUGGCGACCGGCGCACGGGUGAGUAACGCGUAUCCAACCUGCCCUUCACCACGGGAUAACCCGGCGAAAGUCGGACUAAUACCGUAUGUUGUCCAUUGACGGCAUCCGAUUUGGACGAAAGGCUUGGCGGUGAGGGAUGGGGAUGCGUCCGAUUAGCCAGACGGCGGGGUAACGGCCCACCGUGGCUACGAUCGGUAGGGGUUCUGAGAGGAAGGUCCCCCACACUGGAACUGAGACACGGUCCAGACUCCUACGGGAGGCAGCAGUGAGGAAUAUUGGUCAAUGGGCGUAAGCCUGAACCAGCCAAGUAGCGUGCAGGAUGACGGCCCUAUGGGUUGUAAACUGCUUUUAUGCGGGGAUAAAGUGGCCCACGUGUGGGCUUUUGCAGGUACCGCAUGAAUAAGGACCGGCUAAUUCCGUG
rnacentral:rRNA from 1 species